UGCGGCGCCAUUUCGCAGAACCCCUGGGUGGGUGUGGACAAAGCGCUUGCCCUUCUUUCAUCCCAAAGCUGCCUGCUUGUCUCCUGAGAUGCAGUGAGACAUUUAAGCUGGAGUCCAGUGGCCCUAAGGACCCAUGUUUACAGGAGAAGAGCUUAGAGGCAGCAGCUCCAGGCCAUGAGAGCGAACAAGGUCCCCUCAGGAGAAUCCGGUUGCUCCGGAACCAUGGUCCAGGGAUGGCUCUGAUCUCCUCGGGGGGCAGGAAGUUGAAGCCAAAGCAGAAAUCCCCUUCCAAAACACAAGGACUUCCUCCCUGCAGAGAGUGCUCUCUGACAGGGCCACUGCCUCUGGUAUGGCUGCAAGUCCUUCAUUAUGAAUCCUGUAACUUGCAGCUAACACCAGAGGGUUAUACAACAACCCAACUCCAUCUAUACAGGUACCCUUGACCACCUGUUGAGAAUGGAAUAAUCACCACUGCUGAUGGGACUACCUAUACCUCCUACCUCACAGUGACAGACUUCUUCUGAUGGGACUGCUUCCACCUCCCACCUCACAAUGGUAGACUUUCAGUCUCUGAGAUAGGCUCCAAUACUUAUGUUACUGAUAUGUACAAUUUUUGUAUCAAGCCAGAACAAUUGACACACCAAAGGUGAUGGUAUGUCUAGCUGAUAGGUUUUUCUGUUGGGCAUUUAGAAUAGUGCCCCCCUCUGGGAGAGACUCUAACUGCCAUAUUUCUGCGCCCCCGUUCAGCAGGAAGUAGUUCAAGACUGGAUCUUCGUCCUCUUUCCUCUGAUAGCAGUUAGAGUGUUGUCUCAUGAGGGGGGAAUUGUGAGAGACCAGAUUAGACAGAUAGUUGUUUUAGGCAGUCAGAUAGGGACUGGCCCACUUACGACGUCACAGCCUCUCCAUGCCUAUCCCAGCUGGCUCCACCUGCUUCAGUUGCUGGAUUCAACGUCUGCCUGUCUCCCCCAGUCAUACUCUAUUGAGCGUGUACCCUUUCCAGGUAUGAGGGAAUUCCUCCUGUGAGCCCAGGCCAAUUGGCUGGGAUACCUGGCACAAGUAUGUCUAUUUUGUCCUGAGCACGGACUCAAAAAUCAUCUUUUUUGAGCCCACAGAAAAGGCUUUUUCUUCUCUCUGGCCCUUGAGCUGCAUACAGCAAGAUGCCUGUGUCUUUCUACCAGUAAGAUUCACUUUUUAUUAGUAUUUUUACUUUUUAAUCUCUUUGGAAGCAAACACUUUCUUUAAAAACUUCUCACAUUAUUUUCUUUUUUAAAAAAUUAAGUUGCAACUUUGUAUGGAUACAUUAUGCGUUGGUACCAUCAUUCCCCUCUUCCCCACUCCUAUUCCACUGAGGGCCGUCCUUAGUGGGACUGCUGGUGAUUCCUGCAGAGGGACUGGACACCAAGUCUCUGAGAGAGGAAAAUAGUCACAAAAUGAGAAGUGUCUUAUGGUCCUUGUGAGCUUUUCCUAAUAUAAGCACUCAUAUUCAGAACUAAAGGUGAUAGCACUCUGGGAGAAGACUGCUUAACUGGACUUGAACAUCAGGCUUAUCUGGGCUGACCUCUGCUACCUGGUCAAGUGUUCCAGAGAUCAUGCAGGCCUCAGGAUGGGAUUCAUUGGCGAACUGAAUGUAUAUAAGGGAAAAAUGAAAUGACAGACUGUACAAAAAAUACCUCCUGACUCCCAAUAAAGCUGUGAAAAACCACA